CCCACGCCUGCCUAGGUCGGGAUCAUUUCCCCAUGUUGAGUCAUGUUGCCUCUGCCAUGCUCGCUCGCAACUGACGCCUCCACCAUGCUUGCUUUCGAAUGUCGUCACCUUUUCCUCCGCUCCUCCUCCACCUCCACCCCCACGUGUCCGCCUCGAUCUCCCUGCCUUAGGCGCAUGCAACGUAGAUCCAUCCUCCUCCGCCCCUGCCUUGAGCCGCCGCCUUGCUUGACCCAUCAUCCGUCCUCUCGCCCACCAGAUCGGAGCAGCAAAUCAUCCCAGCUCGGUCUAUCAGACAAAAGGAUACCUUGAGGGCCUUAGAAGUGACUACAAAUUUGGAGUGUCCUAAUCUCGCAGUCAACAUAUCCAGAGUGACUACAAAUUUUGGAUUUCCAGCUGUAAUGCCUCAUCUCGUACUUCAAAGCUUCGGUGUUGCUCUUGUUUUAAAGAGCAUUUCCCACUGGUGUAGGAUCUGAUGGAUUUUUAACCCCUCGGUUCCCUAACCGUGGCAGAGAAUAUAAACCCAGACGGAUUCCUCCACCAGGGAACUAAAAUGCCAUCUAAAUCCUCUUUGGGGAUAUCCUCCUCAGGAUUCCUCUUCUCAUGCUUCCAAACAAAGCCUAAGAACAUCCCAGCGCGAAACGAACAAUAUUGAGAAUAGUAGAAGUUACAGCUUGAUAAAAUAUGCGACUGGAAUUAUUGAUAAAGUAAAAUGAUGGUUGGCAUGCAUGAUAUAUAUAACCGAGCCAGUGUGAGCUUCAUAUAUACAUGCUCACAUCAAGAACUCGUCAUUUUCUCGUCCCUGACAAAAAUGGAUCUCAGUGGACUGGAAAACCGCCAUGGUCUGCAAGAGUGGUUUACAACUGCUGGUUUACAGAGUACAGAGCAAAGACACUUGCACUUGUGGUAAGCACAGCACAUGGUACCUGGUAAGUAACUAGCAGUUGCACGCAGUUACUUUAGAAAAAGACGUUUGCUGCGUGAAACAGCACAGACUUUUUUUCAAUGUAUUUCUUACUCGCCAUGCAUGAAUCAGACGUCAAAAAGGCAAAAAAGGGAUUGGGAAAUUGACAAGCGAUUGCGGGGAACUUGCAGAUAUGAGGUUUUUGAGUCUUUGACACUACCCAUUAUAUACUCUACGGGUUCGUGCCUCGUCGAUUCCAAACUAAGGGUUGAUUCAAUGAAUAGACAAAUUCAUGCUUAAAAAAUAAAUGAAAAAAUGGGGGACACAUGGAAGAUCAAAUAUCUAAGGGACGCUCUUAAUUAAUGUCACAUUUCUCAAUAAAAAGAGAGGUGGAUAGGAUUUUCUCUUCACUACUCCGGCCAGUUGAUAAGAAAAGACCGGAGCGGGUCAAGGGGGCUAGGGGUUCCAGCCCUCCUACCGUCUCGCAGCCAAUAAUGAUUUUUAUGGAUGAGGAAAAAGGAAG